UAAUACAAUUAGUAUGUUUGAAAUAUAAUGAUUACCGCAGUGAUAACAAUGGGUUAAUGAAAAAAUGUCUCAAUUUUUAACAUUUUGAACUAUUAUUAUUAUAAGGUGAAGUCUUAACUCUGGAGGUGCUAUAGUUGCAUUAUUGGAAGUACUUAUUAUUUAUAUCUUAGUUCUAUAUUAAAAAAAUUAAAACACACUCAACAACCCUUGGAUUGUGCUCUUGAUUUAUUGGCGUAUCAUUCUUAUAUAUAAAUACCAAAUAUUACAAAUAUUGUGUUGCGAGUAAUGAGUAUUGGACUAUUGAAGUAAUAACUAACGAGUACUUGAACCAUAGAUCACUGUUAUAUGAUCUAAGACUUGAACAUAUUGAGCAUUGACUAUUGAAGUACUGAAUAGUGAUUACUGUCUACUGAUUAGCGAUUAAUGAUUCGUUAUUAAUUGGUGCCUUGGAGGUAGUGGACGGACGUAUUUUCUUUUAUCACGACAAUGGCGAUUCAGCAACGUCAAUCGUGGAAGUACUGGUGGCGUUGAUAAUAAAGUGGUGUAACGCGUUUAUGCCAUGAAUUGAACCUUGACAUUCGCGCGCGUUGAUAAUAUCGACUCGUUGCUCGUUCGAUGAUUCGCCUGCGCUGAAGAACAAGAACGGGACCGUGUCUGUAGUUCUGUCGCUGCCGCCACGUCCUAUUCCCUCUCCGACCUCUCUCCUCACCCAUCAUAACCACUCGUCGACCGUCGCUGCCAAGCUGCGGUUCAGCGCUUGCUUCAGUGUUCAGUGGUCAUUCGAAUUAUCUGUUUCGGAGUUGUGUACGUCAUUUCGUCCGAUAUAACCGUUAGUCCGUCCGUAUCUACGUGACUCUUUGUGAACACUGUGCGUGAACAGAUAAAUAAAUUAAUAGCUGCGACGUAAAAAAUCAAUAGUAAUAUUUUUCUUGUUGCCUAAUAUCUGUACGAUCUCAUAUUAUAUUUUCUACCGUGCGCUGCGUAAAACUGUGUAGGCCGCCGCCGUCUAUAACAGGCGCAAUCGCAGAAUUAUGUGAUUGAUUUUAUGGAUUCGCCCGCCGGUGCAGGUGUCUGUUUGGUGGAAAUGAACUCGUCUUCGUCCACGACCACUUUGACCGUCAAAGAGGACAUUCCGCUUUUGAACAAGCCUCGGGAAAACAACAACGUCUUCAACAGAUUGUGACACAUUCUCCUGCCUGUUAAUAUUUUUACAGUCAUGACAGAAGAGAAAAAAAGUAAAUUAAGUUAGGUAUGUCAAGACCUAGCUGGGCUAACAAAUAUCAAAAAGGGUGAGCAAAAAUCAAAAAUGAUAAUAUUUCCUAUAUUGUUAAAAUUUAUAAUAUUUGAAAUUUAUUACCCAUUUAGAUCAAUUUUAUCUUCAAAUAUUCCUGAACAGUAGAAUUUGAAUUUUUUUUAAAUUAAUUAUUAUGUUAUAAAAACCUAUAUUUCUUUUAGAUAGGAUGUAAUAUAAAAGUUGAAUUUUAGAUUGAUAUAUGUAUUCAACAUAUGUGUUAGGUAUUUAUACUGUUUUAUAAUAGUAUUAUUUGUAGAUUAAAAUUGUACAUAUUCAUAUUAAAUACAUUCUUUAACUAUUUUUUUUUUCAUUUUAUAAUUAUUAAAUUUAAAUAUAAUAUUACCUAUUAUAUAUUUUAUAAAUAUUACCGACUAGAUAUAUUACUAUUAAAUUAUAACCUUAAAUAAUAUUUUAUUAUCAAACUGUUUCCCUACCUGUUAAUUUAAUUGAAAUAUUUAUCAAUUUUUUUUUGUAAUGUCUAAUUGAAAAUAUAAAAAACUUAAGUUUUAGACAUUUUAAAUUUUGAUUAGUUUAAAAAAAAAUUAUAGCUCACCCUUUUUUAAUUAUUUUGUUUUGUAGUCGGCUGUUUAAGGUUAGGUGAACCUAACCUAAUCUCUUAUUAAACACGACUAACACCAAGACUUACAUAUAUGUUUAUAUUAAAUUUUAAAAAGAAAAAUUGCUACAGUGAAAUUAAUUGUUACUAAAUGUUAUUAAUUCAAUUUUAUGAUUGAAGUGAUAGCGUGUUUUUGACUAUAACACAUCAAGCUUAUAGUUAGUUAAUAUAUUAUGAAUGUAGUGAUUUGUUUUUAAUGUUUAUGUAGAUAUAUUUGCUUCUUUUGUAUUAAACCUCCACUAAUUUAAGAGUAAUUUAAUUGUUAAUUGCUUAGCUUUUUAUAUAAGUUAGCUUCUUGCAUGUAUUGUUUUGUUUUUAUAUGGGUAAUUUAUAAUCAAGCGCAUGUUAAAAUGUUUGAAGAUUAUAAAAUAAUAACAAUAAAUAGGACUAGUAAAAAAUACUUAAGAACGUAUCAUACAUAAAAAAAAAACAAUUCAGACUUAUCUAGAUAUACUAGAAUUUCGCAGUUGUAAGAGCAUUUACAUUGAGUUAAAAAAUAUUUGUGCAUACUUAUAUCUACUAUAAUUUAUUUAUUUUUAGUUUUAUUUUAUUAAAUAUUUGAAAUUAUAUUUGUGACUGUGAUUAAUUUUUCUUUUAUUAUGUUUAUGUAAAAUAAAUAUUUCAUCUUACUUCAACUUUAAAUUUUCUCUAAGUUUUUAAAUAGACAAACAAAAAUAAUUUGGGAAUUGUUCAAUAGAUUCGUAUUAGGAUUAGUGAUUACUAAAUGUGAUAAUAAUUGGUCAUUAUUCAUUAUCAGUAAUUAAAUCAUUGUAGUUUUAAGCUAUUAUUAAUUAAUGAAGUUUCUAACAUAAUUUAUAUUGUAUUACUGUGUAUAUUUUAUUUUAUAAAUCAUCUAAAAUUGCAUUAGAUCAAAAUAAUAUUUUCUUAUGGUGAGAGCAAUUAUAUCAUUAAUUUAUAUUUUCAUAGGUAAUCAGCUUACAUAUCUUAAUCUAAAUUAAAAAUUAAUAUUUCUUAUUAUGUGAUUUCAAAUUAUUAUUGAAGAACAAAUCCAAUUUAUGAAUACUUACUUACAAUAUUAUCAUUAUUAUCAAACUUUUUGAACAUAUAAGAAAUUUUAACGAAUAACAUAUAAGUAAUUAAUAGCUUAAAUAGAUAUUAAGAUAUUGAUCAGUUAUUAUCAUCAAUGUCUGAAUGAUCGUCUUAGACUGUAAAAUAUGUUAAUUGAAAUAUGACGUGCGGAUAUUAUUAUUUAAUAAAUUGUAUUAUAUAUAUGCAAUGUAGAGUAUUGUUAGAUUUACAUUU